GGCAUGUGUCUCUAGCAUAGCACUGUGAGAGGCAGCCUGGUGGGUACUGCACAGA
rnacentral:misc_RNA from 1 species